rnacentral:rRNA from 1 species
UGUGAACUCGAAGAGUAGGGCGGGACACGUGGUAUCCUGUCUGAAUAUGGGGGGACCAUCCUCCAAGGCUAAAUACUCCUGACUGACCGAUAGUGAACCAGUACCGUGAGGGAAAGGCGAAAAGAACCCCGGCGAGGGGAGUGAAAAAGAACCUGAAACCGUGUACGUACAAGCAGUGGGAGCACCUUCGGGUGUGACUGCGUACCUUUUGUAUAAUGGGUCAGCGACUUAUAUUCUGUAGCAAGGUUAACCGUAUAGGGGAGCCGCAGGGAAACCGAGUCUUAACUGGGCGUUAAGUUGCAGGGUAUAGACCCGAAACCCGGUGAUCUAGCCAUGGGCAGGUUGAAGGUUGGGUAACACUAACUGGAGGACCGAACCGACUAAUGUUGAAAAAUUAGCGGAUGACUUGUGGCUGGGGGUGAAAGGCCAAUCAAACCGGGAGAUAGCUGGUUCUCCCCGAAAGCUAUUUAGGUAGCGCCUCGUGAAUUCAUCUUCGGGGGUAGAGCACUGUUUCGGCUAGGGGGUCAUCCCGACUUACCAACCCGAUGCAAACUACGAAUACCGAAGAAUGUUAUCACGGGAGACACACGGCGGGUGCUAACGUCCGUCGUGAAGAGGGAAACAACCCAGACCGCCAGCUAAGGUCCCAAAGUCAUGGUUAAGUGGGAAACGAUGUGGGAAGGCACAGACAGCCAGGAUGUUGGCUUAGAAGCAGCCAUCAUUUAAAGAAAGCGUAAUAGCUCACUGGUCGAGUCGGCCUGCGCGGAAGAUGUAACGGGGCUAAACCAUGCACCGAAGCUGCGGCAGCGACACUAUGUGUUGUUGGGUAGGGGAGCGUUCUGUAAGCCUGCGAAGGUGACCUGUGAGGGUUGCUGGAGGUAUCAGAAGUGCGAAUGCUGACAUAAGUAACGAUAAAGCGGGUGAAAAGCCCGCUCGCCGGAAGACCAAGGGUUCCUGUCCAACGUUAAUCGGGGCAGGGUGAGUCGACCCCUAAGGCGAGGCCGAAAGGCGUAGUCGAUGGGAAACAGGUUAAUAUUCCUGUACUUGGUGUUACUGCGAAGGGGGGACGGAGAAGGCUAUGUUAGCCGGGCGACGGUUGUCCCGGUUUAAGCAUGUAGGCUGGUUGUCCAGGCAAAUCCGGAUAAUCAAGGCUGAGGUGUGAUGACGAGGCACUACGGUGCUGAAGUAACAAAUGCCCUGCUUCCAGGAAAAGCCUCUAAGCAUCAGGUAACAU